rnacentral:rRNA from 1 species
AUGAAUCUCCAUAAUACAUGUCAGCAAGAACAGCUAUCGGGCUCAAAUUCCGCAAGGCCGCAAACAUUUUGGACCAUCUGUCCAGCUUGUGACACCAAAUAUCAGUACCACCAUGCAAGUUCACAGAAAACUGUCCGCUGCCAAAAUUGCUCGAAGGCCUUUAUAGCACAUGUUUUAACUGACCAACCUGUUCCUUCUGGUCCAAAGCAAUCCGUGUGGAAAAAUGCAGGAGUAUUUUCAGAAAUCAGAUUGCUUCAGAAGUUCAAACCCGGGCAGAUCUGGGCUCUCUACAGUGACAUAGAUAAGUAUCCCAAUUGCUAUGCCUUCAUAGAGAAAGUUGAGCUGCAGAAUAAUGAAGUACAGGCAAGAUGGCUUGAAGUUUGUCCCGAUGGAGAGUUGGAGAAAAUAUCUAUAGAAGAUCGAACUGUCGGGUGUGGAACCUAUAAGGUUGCCACCACUGAUGGUAUUAUGAUUUACACUGACAUGAAAUCCUUUUCUCAUCGUGUAAAUGCGAUAUUCACUGGUAGAAGGAACUCUUAUGAAAUAUAUCCUAGGAAAGAUGAAGUUUGGGCACUUCUGAAGGGAUGGGAUAUCGGUUGGAGUUCAGAUGCUCACAAUCAAAAGAAAUACAAGUAUGAAGUUGUUCAGGUCCUCUCUGAUUUCACGACUGACACUAGCAUCACCGUCAUGCCGCUUGUCAAGAUAAAAGUCUUUGUGAGCUUAUUUAUGCAGUCUAAAGAGGCUACUCCAUAUCUGAUACGGCAGGAUGAUACAAUAUGGUUCUCGCAUUGUAUCCCGUACCGUUUGAUGGGUGCAGCUGAAAGUGAAGGCAUUCCAGAAGGAGCUCUCGAACUUGAUCCUGCUGCGCUUCCCCUUAACUUGGAGCAGCCUCAUGUUCGUGUUGUUUCAGAAAGCAGGUCGGUAAAGGGCUCGGAGUUUGAUGCCGCAUAUGCUGGUUCGUCCAGAGGAAAUAAGUCUCACAAGGAAUCUGAAGGGGUUGGGGAGAGGCAGCAUGCUACAUGCAUGAACCGAGGGAUCUUUGCAAAGACAUCGGUGGUAGAGAACAGAGACCAUAACACUCCAUCUACUGUAGAAGGUAUGGAUGUUGCUGAAGAAUCUGACCACGCGCAAGCGAAAGUAUUAUGUCCUGAAUUUUUUGACUUCGACCAACUUCGAGAUGUAAGUCGGUUUAGACGCAACCAGAUCUGGGCUGUCUAUGAUACUAAAUGCUGUAUACCAAGAUUUUAUGCUCGAAUUACAAAGGUAAGAAGGGCCCCAAAGUUUGAGGUACACUUUGUUUCGCUGGAAUUUGAUCCCAGAAAUAAAGCAGAGGUGGCAUGGUCACGUGGGGAACUGCCUGUUGCUUGUGGACAUUUUAAGCAUGGAGCAUCACACACGCUAAAGAAACUACGAUCUUCUCCCAGAUCAUUUCCUAUGAGAAAAUCAGGACAAGAAACUCGUUUGAGAUAUAUCCUAAGAAAGGUGAAGUUUGGGCCCUUUUCAAGGGAUGGGACAUUGGCUGGAGUUCGGAUGCUAAAAACCACACAGAUUUUAUGUAUGAAGUUGUUCAGGUUCUCUCUGAUUUUACGACAAGCACUAGCAUCAUUGCCAUGCCGCUCGUAA